GAUGAACGCUGGCGGCGUGCCUAAUACAUGCAAGUCGAGCGAACAGACGAGGAGCUUGCUCCUCUGACGUUAGCGGCGGACGGGUGAGUAACACGUGGAUAACCUACCUAUAAGACUGGGAUAACUUCGGGAAACCGGAGCUAAUACCGGAUAAUAUAUUGAACCGCAUGGUUCAAUAGUGAAAGACGGUUUUGCUGUCACUUAUAGAUUGAUCCGCGCCGCAUUAGCUAGUUGGUAAGGUAACGGCUUACCAAGGCAACGAUGCGUAGCCGACCUGAGAGGGUGAUCGGCCACACUGGAACUGAGACACGGUCCAGACUCCUACGGGAGGCAGAAGUAGGGAAUCGUCCGCAAUGGGCGAAAGCUUGACGGAGCAACGCCGCGUGAGUGAUGAAGGUCUUCGGAUCGUAAAACUCUGUUAUUAGGGAAGAACAAAUGUGUAAGUAACUAUGCACGUCUUGACGGUACCUAAUCAGAAAGCCACGGCUAACUACGUG
rnacentral:rRNA from 1 species